rnacentral:lncRNA from 1 species
GAAUUCAAACGGUUUCUUCUCGAGCCGCGUAAUUUGAGGUCUCUUCAAACGCUUUUGAUGUCUCACAUUCUUCCUUCCAGAAUCGCUUCACACCACUGGCCUAACACCAACCUUCACCACCAUACACUCUCCCACCACCGUCUUCAGUUAACCACAAAUCCUUCUGGGAAGAAAACUGUUGAUUCCGCUGAGAUUCUCAAACCCGACGACGUUAUCCGCCCC